CGGAAUAUAAUGAAACUUACGCAGCGUCAGAAGUCAGCUGAGUCAUAGUAUUUCAGUGAAUUCUAUUAAUCGCUGGAAAAAGGAC
rfam:Candidatus Ryanbacteria bacterium RIFCSPLOWO2_02_FTLL_45_11c rifcsplowo2_02_scaffold_9294, whole genome shotgun sequence.